UUCCGGUUGAUCCUGCCGGAGGCGACCGCUUUGGGAGUUCGAUUAAGCCAUGCGAGUCGUGAGUCUUAGGGACUCGGCAUACUGCUCAGUAACACGUGGAUAACCUGCCCUAUCGUCUGGAAUAACCUCGGGAAACUGAGAAUAAGGCCGGAUAGUUCACAAUGCCUGGAACGGUUUGUGAAUCAAGGUAGGAUGGGUCUGCGGCGUAUCAGGUUGUAGGGGGUGUAAAGGACCCCCUAGCCUUCGACGCGUACGGGUGUUGGGAGACAUAGCCCGGAGAUGGAUUCUGAGACACGAAUCCAGACCCUACGGGGUGCAGCAGGCGCGAAAACUUCACACUGCAGGAAACUGUGAUGAGGGAACUCCUAGUGCAUGCACUAUGUGUAUGUAGAUCCUACUCUUAACAAGUAGAGGGAAAGGGCUGGGAAAGACCGGUGCCAGCCGCCGCGGUAAUACCGGCAGCUCAAGUGGUCGUCGCUUUUAUUGGGCCUAAAACGUCCGUAGCCUGUUUGGUAAAUCUGUGGGUAAAUCAACUCGCUCAACGAGUUGAAUUCUGCAGAGACUGCCAGACUAGGGACCGGGAGAGGUGUGGGGUACUCGAGGGGUAGGGGUAAAAUCCUGUCAUCCUUUGAGGACCACCAGUUGCGAAGGCGCCACACUGGAACGGAUCCGACGGUCAGGGACGAAGCCUAGGGGCACGAACCGGAUUAGAUACCCGGGUAGUCCUAGGUGUAAACGCUGUGAACUUGGUGUCGGGGGUCCGCAAGGGGUCCCCGGUGCCGGAGUGAAGAUGUUAAGUUCACUGCCUGGGGAGUACGGUCGCAAGGCUGAAACUUAAAGGAAUUGGCGGGGGAACACUGCAACGGGAGGAGCGUGCGGUUUAAUUGGAUUCAACGCCGGA
rnacentral:rRNA from 1 species